UACGGAGGGGGCUAGCGUUGCUCGGAAUCACUGGGCGUAAAGCGCACGUAGGCGGCUUCUUAAGUCAGGGGUGAAAUCCUGGAGCUCAACUCCAGAACUGCCUUUGAUACUGAGGAGCUUGAGUCCGGGAGAGGUGAGUGGAACUGCGAGUGUAGAGGUGAAAUUCGUAGAUAUUCGCAAGAACACCAGUGGCGAAGGCGGCUCACUGGCCCGGUACUGACGCUGAGGUGCGAAAGCGUGGGGAGCAAACAGG
rnacentral:rRNA from 1 species